UACGAAGGUCCCAAGCGUUAUCCGGAUUUAUUGGGUUUAAAGGGCGCGUAGGCGGGUGUGCAAGUCUGUGGUGAAAGCCUCCAGCUUAACUGGAGAAGUGCCAUGGAUACUGCACAUCUUGAGGAGGGUAGGGGCAUCUGGAACGGUCGGUGGAGCGGUGAAAUGCGUUGAUAUCGACCGGAACUCCGGUGGCGAAGGCGAGGUGCUGGACCCUUUCUGACGCUGAGGCGCGAAAGCCAGGGGAGCAAACGGG
rnacentral:rRNA from 1 species